rnacentral:rRNA from 1 species
UUAUAAGAGACAGCAGUAGCCGCGGUAAUACGUAGGUGGCAAGCGUUGUCCGGAAUUAUUGGGCGUAAAGCGCGCGCAGGUGGUUUAAUAAGUCUGAUGUGAAAGCCCACGGCUCAACCGUGGAGGGUCAUUGGAAACUGUUAAACUUGAGUGCAGGAGAGAAAAGUGGAAUUCCUAGUGUAGCGGUGAAAUGCGUAGAGAUUAGGAGGAACACCAGUGGCGAAGGCGGCUUUUUGGCCUGUAACUGACACUGAGGCGCGAAAGCGUGGGGAGCAAACAGGAUUAGAUACCCCAGUAGUCCCUGUCUCUUAUAC